rnacentral:rRNA from 1 species
AUGAACGCUAGCGGCAGGCUUAACACAUGCAAGUCGAGGGGCAGCGGGGAGGAAGCUUGCUUUCUCCGCCGGCGACCGGCGCACGGGUGAGUAACACGUAUGCAACCUGCCCCUGUCAGGGGGACAACCCGCCGAAAGGCGGGCUAAACCCGCGUACAUGCCACCGGGGCAUCCCGGAGGCAGGAAAGGCUUCGGCCGGACAGGGAUGGGCAUGCGGCGCAUUAGGCAGUAGGCGGGGUAACGGCCCACCUAACCGACGAUGCGUAGGGGUUCUGAGAGGAAGGUCCCCCACACUAGUACUGAGACACGGACCAGACUCCUACGGGAGGCAGCAGUGAGGAAUAUUGGUCAAUGGUCAGGAGACUGAACCAGCCAAGCCGCGUGAGGGAGGAAGGUACAGAGUAUCGUAAACCUCUUUUGUCAGGGAACAAAGACUGGGACGCGUCCCCGGAUGAGUGUACCUGAAGAAAAAGCAUCGGCUAACUCCGUGCCAGCAGCCGCGGUAAUACGGAGGAUGCGAGCGUUAUCCGGAUUUAUUGGGUUUAAAGGGUGCGCAGGCGGUCUGUUAAGUCAGCGGUCAAAGCCCGGGGCUCAACCCCGGCCCGCCGUUGAAACUGGCAGUCUCGAGUUGGAGAGAAGUAUGCGGAAUGCGCGGUGUAGCGGUGAAAUGCAUAGAUAUCGCGCAGAACUCCGAUUGCGAAGGCAGCAUGCCGGCUCCACACUGACGCUGAGGCACGAAAGCGUGGGUAUCGAACAGGAUUAGAUACCCUGGUAGUCCACGCAGUAAACGAUGAAUGCUGGCUGUCCGGGGGGACUGACCCCUGGGUGGCGAAGCGAAAGCGAUAAGCAUUCCACCUGGGGAGUACGCCGGCAACGGUGAAACUCAAAGGAAUUGACGGGGGCCCGCACAAGCGGAGGAACAUGUGGUUUAAUUCGAUGAUACGCGAGGAACCUUACCCGGGCUCAAACGGGGAGUGACUCAGGCAGAGACGCCUGUUUCCCACGGGACACUCCCCGAGGUGCUGCAUGGUUGUCGUCAGCUCGUGCCGUGAGGUGUCGGCUUAAGUGCCAUAACGAGCGCAACCCCCGCGUGCAGUUGCUAACAGAUAACGCUGAGGACUCUGCACGGACUGCCGGCGCAAGCCGCGAGGAAGGCGGGGAUGACGUCAAAUCAGCACGGCCCUUACGUCCGGGGCGACACACGUGUUACAAUGGGUGGUACAGCGGGAAGCCAGGCGGCGACGCCGAGCGGAACCCGAAAUCCACUCUCAGUUCGGAUCGGAGUCUGCAACCCGACUCCGUGAAGCUGGAUUCGCUAGUAAUCGCGCAUCAGCCAUGGCGCGGUGAAUACGUUCCCGGGCCUUGUACACACCGCCCGUCAAGCCAUGGGAGCCGAGGGCGCUUGAAGUGCGUCGCCGCGAGGCGCGCCCUAGAGCGAAAUCGGUGACUGGGGCUAAGUCGUAACAAGGUAGCCG